rnacentral:misc_RNA from 1 species
GGAGAAAGUGGUUACUGAGAUUGUUGUGGAUGCCUCUGCAGACAAGGCUAGUGAAGUGGAGAUAGAGGUUCCUGAGAAUGUUGCAGAUGCCUCUUCAGAGAAGGCCAAAGAAGUGGAGUUGGAGGAACUGGAGAAUGUUGCAGGUGCCUCUACAGGCAAGGCUAAAGAGGAACCUGAGAAUGUUGUAGAUGCCUCGACAGACAAGUCCAAAGAAGUGGAGAUAGUCAUAUCUAAGAAUGUUGCAGAUGCCUCUGCUGGGA